CAGGAUGGGAAGUGGAGGGCUUGCUGGAGGCCUCAUGGCUUGGACCACCAAGAGAGAAGAUGGAAAAUUAACUGGAACAAAGGAUGGAAACAUUACUCCUCCUCCUACCUGGGCUUUCUUUCAGGUUUCAAGAUUUGCUCUAGCAUUUGAGGCUCAGGAGCUCCCUCCCAGCCAAAACUCAGCAGAGCUGCUUGUCACAAGUCCCUCUGUGUCCCCAGCCUGGCUCCUUCUGCCUUCCUGUUCCCUGGGGCUAACUCCACCCUUCACAGGCACGAAGAAUGAACCACAGGUUCUCUCUCCUGCGCCUUGUGAAGAGCUUUGUGAAUCUUCACCUACACCUUCAGACAGUUCUGCCUUGAAGAACAUGGGUUAAUGCCAGCUGCUGCCCCAGCACUGCAAGGUAUCUGCUUUCUUGUAAGGUUUUAGCUACUUCUCAGAAGAGAACUACCUCUGGGGGAAAAAAAUAGAGGGGGAAGAAUUAUGUCCCAUGUCCUCCUGAUGCACAAGCAAGGGCUGAAUGUGGCAGGGGCAAGUAAAACCUCUUCAGCACUUCUUGUCCUUUCCUUUAUCUGGCUCCUUACCUGACAAUCCUUAUUAUCAAUCUCUGCAUCAUUUGGUUUAGCUAAAGAAGCAUCUGGUAGUGUAUUAAAUACCUCCAUCAGGUCCAGGCAGACGAUGCCUGCUCUGAGCCUUCUGUACAGAAAACUACCCAUUACAUUUACCACCUCA